GCCCGUGUGGAUCAAUCGGACCGUGCACUGGACUCACAAUCCAGAGAUUGCUGGUUCGAAUCCCACGGCGGGCG
rfam:Culex pipiens quinquefasciatus supercont3.188 genomic scaffold, whole genome shotgun sequence.